UUUCUUUUAGCUUAAUGUAAAGCGUUAGUUUGAAGCACUAAAGAUAAUUUAAAAUUAGAGAGAA
rnacentral:tRNA from 1 species